rnacentral:piRNA from 1 species
UGGUCAGCAAUAUCUGGCUGAUAGUCCAAC